rnacentral:rRNA from 1 species
UACGAAGGGGGCUAGCGUUGCUCGGAAUUACUGGGCGUAAAGCGCACGUAGGCGGCUUUCUAAGUCGGGGGUGAAAUCCUGGAGCUCAACUCCAGAACUGCCUUCGAUACUGAGGAUCUUGAGUUCGGGAGAGGUGAGUGGAACUGCGAGUGUAGAGGUGAAAUUCGUAGAUAUUCGCAAGAACACCAGUGGCGAAGGCGGCUCACUGGCCCGGUACUGACGCUGAGGUGCGAAAGCGUGGGGAGCAAACAGG